AUUGAACGCUGGCGGCAGGCCUAACACAUGCAAGUCGAACGGUAACAGGAAGAAGCUUGCUUCUUUGCUGACGAGUGGCGGACGGGUGAGUAAUGUCUGUGAAACUGCCUGAUGGAUGGGGAUAACUACUGGAAACGGUAGCUAAUACCGCAUAACGUCGCAAGACCAAAGAGGGGGACCUUCGGGCCUCUUGCCAUCGGAUGUGCCCAGAUGGGAUUAGCUAGUAGGUGGGGUAACGGCUCACCUAGGCGACGAUCCCUAGCUGGUCUGAGAGGAUGACCAGCCACACUGGAACUGAGACACGGUCCAGACUCCUACGGGAGGCAGCAGUGGGGAAUAUUGCACAAUGGGCGCAAGCCUGAUGCAGCCAUGCCGCGUGUAUGAAGAAGGCCUUCGGGUUGUAAAGUACUUUCAGCGGGGAGGAAGGGAGUAAAGUUAAUACCUUUGCUCAUUGACGUUACCCGCAGAAGAAGCACCGGCUAACUACGUG
rnacentral:rRNA from 1 species